UGGGGAAUAUUGCACAAUGGGGGAAACCCUGAUGCAGCCAUGCCGCGUGUGUGAAGAAGGCCUUCGGGUUGUAAAGCACUUUCAGUGGGGAGGAAAGGGGUAAUGCUAAUACCAUUGCCCUGUGACGUUACCCACAGAAGAAGCACCGGCUAACUCCGUGCCAGCAGCCGCGGUAAUACGGAGGGUGCAAGCGUUAAUCGGAAUAACUGGGCGUAAAGCGCACGCAGGCGGUUUGCUAAGCUAGAUGUGAAAGCCCCGGGCUCAACCUGGGAACUGCAUUUAGAACUGGCGAACUAGAGUCUUGUAGAGGGGGGUAGAAUUCCAGGUGUAGCGGUGAAAUGCGUAGAGAUCUGGAGGAAUACCGGUGGCGAAGGCGGCCCCCUGGACAGAGACUGACGCU
rnacentral:rRNA from 1 species